UGUAGUAAUACCGACUUGGUUCGGUGGCGCACGGGUGCGUAACACGUGAGCAAUCUGCCGGGAAGUGGGGGAUAGCUCGCCGAAAGGCGAAUUAAUACCGCAUGUGGCCAUCCUUCGAGUGGAGGAAAAGCCAAAGCAGCAAUGCGCUUCCUGAUGAGCUCGCGGCCUAUCAGCUCGAUGGCGGGGUAAUGGCCCACCAUGGCUUUGACGGGUAGCUGGUCUGAGAGGACGACCAGCCACACUGGAACUGAGAUACGGUCCAGACACCUACGGGUGGCAGCAGUCGAGAAUUUUUCACAAUGGGGGCAACCCUGAUGGAGCGACGCCGCGUGGAGGAUGAAGGCCUUCGGGUUGUAAACUCCUGUCAUGCGGGAACAAGCAAGUGAUAGUACCGCAAGAGGAAGAGACGGCUAACUCUGUGCCAGCAGCCGCGGUAAUACAGAGGUCUCAAGCGUUGUUCGGAUUCAUUGGGCGUAAAGGGUGCGUAGGUGGUGACGCAAGUCUGGUGUGAAAUCUCGGAGCUCAACUCCGAAAUUGCACCGGAUACUGCGUGACUCGAGGACUGUAGAGGAGAUCGGAAUUCACGGUGUAGCA
rnacentral:rRNA from 1 species